rnacentral:rRNA from 1 species
CCUACGGGAGGCAGCAGUGGGGAAUUUUGGACAAUGGGCGCAAGCCUGAUCCAGCAAUGCCGCGUGCAGGAUGAAGGCCUUCGGGUUGUAAACUGCUUUUGUACGGAACGAAACGGCUCUUUCUAAUAAAGAGAGCUAAUGACGGUACCGUAAGAAUAAGCACCGGCUAACUACGUGCCAGCAGCCGCGGUAAUACGUAGGGUGCGAGCGUUAAUCGGAAUUACUGGGCGUAAAGCGUGCGCAGGCGGUUAUAUAAGACAGAUGUGAAAUCCCCGGGCUCAACCUGGGACCUGCAUUUGUGACUGUAUAGCUAGAGUACGGUAGAGGGGGAUGGAAUUCCGCGUGUAGCAGUGAAAUGCGUAGAUAUGCGGAGGAACACCGAUGGCGAAGGCAAUCCCCUGGACCUGUACUGACGCUCAUGCACGAAAGCGUGGGGAGCAAACAGGAUUAGAUACCCUGGUAGUCCACGCCCUAAACGAUGUCAACUGGUUGUUGGGUCUUCACUGACUCAGUAACGAAGCUAACGCGUGAAGUUGACCGCCUGGGGAGUAACGGCCGCAAAGGUUGAAACUUCAAAGUAGAAGUUGGCGGNGNGAGAGCGACGACGACGACGAGAGGGAGGAGG